rnacentral:rRNA from 1 species
GACGAACGCUGGCGGCGUGCUUAACACAUGCAAGUCGAACGGAAAGGCCUGCUUUCCCUUGUGGAUUGCGGGUACUCGAGUGGCGAACGGGUGAGUAACACGUGAGUGAUCUGCCCCCAACUUGGGUAUAAGCCUGGGAAACUGGGUCUAAUUCCCGAUAGGACUGCAGGGUGGUGCCUGUGGUGGAAAACGAUUUUCUAGUGGUUGGGGAUGAGCUCGCGGCCUAUCAGCUUGUUGGUGGGGUAAUGGCCUACCAAGGCGGCGACGGGUAGCCGGCCUGGGAGGGUGGACGGCCCCAUUGGGACUGAGAUACGGCCCAGACUCCUACGGGAGGCAGCAGUGGGGAAUAUUGCACAAUGGGCGGAAGCCUGAUGCAGCGACGCCGCGUGGGGGAUGACGGCCUUCGGGUUGUAAACUCCUUUCGACCGCGAGGAAGCCACCUGGUUGGAAGGGUGGUGACGGUAGUGGUAGAAGAAGCACCGGCUAACUACGUG